CCGGCGCACGGGUGCGUAACGCGUAUAAAACUUACCUUUUACAGAGGGAUAGCCUUUAGAAAUGAAGAUUAAUACCUUAUAGUAUUAAGAUUUGGCAUCAAAUUUUAAUUAAAGAUUUAUCGGUAAAAGAUGGCUAUGCGUCCUAUUAGCUAGAUGGUGAGGUAACGGCUCACCAUGGCAACGAUAGGUAGGGGUCCUGAGAGGGAGAUCCCCCACACUGGUACUGAGACACGGACCAGACUCCUACGGGAGGCAGCAGUGAGGAAUAUUGGGCAAUGGAGGCAACUCUGACCCAGCCAUGCCGCGUGCAGGAAUAAGGUCCUAUGGAUUGUAAACUGCUUUUAUUCGGGAAGAAACCCUUGGACGUGUCCAAGCUUGACGGUACCGAAAGAAUAAGCACCGGCUAACUCCGUGCCAGCAGCCGCGGUAAUACGGAGGGUGCAAGCGUUAUCCGGAAUCAUUGGGUUUAAAGGGUCCGCAGGCGGUCAAUUAAGUCAGAGGUGAAAUCCCAUCGCUUAACGAUGGAACUGCCUUUGAUACUGGUUGACUUGAGUCAUAUGGAAGUAGAUAGAAUGUGUAGUGUAGCGGUGAAAUGCAUAGAUAUUACACAGAAUACCGAUUGCGAAGGCAGUCUACUACGUAUGUACUGACGCUCAUGGACGAAAGCGUGGGGAGCGAACAGGAUUAGAUACCCUGGUAGUCCACGCCGUAAACGAUGGACACUAGUUGUUGGGAGUAAUCUCAGUGACUAAGCGAAAGUGAUAAGUGUCCCACCUGGGGAGUACGUUCGCAAGAAUGAAA
rnacentral:rRNA from 1 species